rnacentral:tRNA from 1 species
GUCGGCCGGGGCGAGGUCCUUGGCGCCGGGCGCGUUGAGGUUGAGCCGGAGGCGGAUCUCGCGGGUGCCGCCGGGCUCGACGGUGAGCCGGUA